UUUUCUUCGACAGUUUAGCUUCCUUGAGUUGUUGGGAGUCGUUUGGUCUCGUGGUGUUUGGUGUCCUGGUAGUAAGAAAUUAGCAAACAAUUUCGGUUAAAAUUUAGUAUUCUUUGUUUAAAAGUAUAUAAGCCGGAGAUGUCGUACAACACCAGAAGAAGUUCGGGAUUUAAUCCCAAUCAACAGAAUGUUGGGAAUAUUGGUCAGCGAAGACCCGUCGUUACCAAUAACUUCGUACCUGGUGGCCAGCUGCAGCCGCAGCCACAGCAAAAAUCUCAACCAGGAUAUAAUCAGCCACCGCAGCGAUCUCAACAGCAAGGUCAGCAGCAAGCGCAAAUCAAUUUCCGUAAUCAACAGCAAAGGCAGCCACAGCCUCAGCAACAAACCGUUCCGCCCCAAGCAUAUGGAAAUCAACAACCUCCCCAACAGCCGAAUUUCCAGCAAAUUAAAGUGGAACCUACCACUCCCGUCAAGCCUCCGACUCCGGUGGUCCCGGCGCCCAACCCGCCGGCGCCGGAGAACAAAGACGUGGACGCUAUGGACACUAGUGGAGAGGGCGAAGAUGGAAAAGUGAAAAGGAGGCCCAUCUGGGCCCGUGGAAUUAAAAUAUCGAGAAAAGAAAAGCUGCGCAGGCGUAACCUGAGGCUGAGCAAGAUGCUGCAACCCAAAAACGCGGUCAUGAUCCUGCACGAACUCGUGAAGAACACCGCUUACGAGGUAGAAGAGUUAUCCUGCAAGAUCGACAACAACCAGUACAAGGCGACCGUAAUGUUUGAAGGGGAGACGCAUGUUGGACUUGGGCGUAGCAAGAUCCAAGCUAAAAACGCCGCUGCUGAGAACGCUCUGAAAUACCUUGUCAAAAACAAGCAGCUCAAACUUACAAAAUCUGAGGAGGGAACUGAAGGUGGUGGUGGUGGUGGUGGUAGGCAAGAUGACACUACAGAGGAAGGCGAGAAAAUGGACAUACAGACCGACGAAGGGAGCACCGUCAUGCCGUGGCAACACGUCGCGUCUUUCGCCCUUUUCAAGCUUUUCUCAUCAUGGGGCGAAGAUCCCGUGCUUACCUCGCGGGUAAGCCAGGCUCAGGAGUUGUUGGGAGGUCCGAAGGUCGCCGUGACUCCGGGCGAGAGGGUCGACACUAUUACAAAGCCGGCGAAAAAGUUGCCGAACAAGCCGGAGGAGAUCAAUCCACUGAUGCUCCUCAAUCAGAUGUGCCCUCAGGCUCAGUUCGAGGAGCUCGGUAAGGCGGGGACGCCCCCGAAUGUGACUUUCACGUUCCAGGUGACCAUUGACGGGCAGACGUUCAACGGCAGCGGCAAAGAGAGAAAGACAGCAGUGUAACAACUAGAAACCAGAACAAAAUGUAACAAUAACAAUAAACAGAAUUAAGUGGCAGUACUGAAAUGGAGCACAUCAGAACGAAAUGAGCGGAAGCUGCCGACAAAAGGAUCAAGAUUUAAACAGUUGCACGCUUUCAGCAUUCUAGUAAGAGGUCCAAAUAAGAAGACGGCAAAAAGAUUGGCAGCCUAUGCUGCGUGCCAUAGCGUUUUGAAGAUCAGUUAUCCUCCGGAAAUAUGGGUUCCUGGUUUUUAAAGUUAAGUGACGUUUCCGUCUACAUAAGCUAUUCCCUUAAAUUUAGCUAUAUAUUCGUGUAGAAAAGAUUUUAAUGAUGUAUUGUCUUUUGUAUCCUUUUGGCUUGAGGCAAUUAGAUAUGUAAGUAUUUGACUUUUGAAUUUAUUUGUAUUACGUAUAAAUAAAAAUAAGUGUAUG